rnacentral:rRNA from 1 species
UCCAUGAAGUCGGAAUCGCUAGUAAUCGUGGAUCAGAAUGCCACGGUGAAUACGUUCCCGGGCCUUGUACACACCGCCCGUCACACCAUGGGAGUGGGUUGCAAAAGAAGUAGGUAGCUUAACCUUCGGGAGGGCGCUUACCACUUUGUGAUUCAUGACUGGGGUGAAGUCGUAACAAGGUAACCGUAGGGGAACCUGCGGUUGGAUCACCUCCUUACCUGAAAGAAGC